rnacentral:tRNA from 1 species
GCCUGGGUGGCUCAGUCAGUUAGGCAUCUGACUCUAGAUCUCAGGUUUGUGAGUUCAAGUCCCGCCUUGGGCU